GUCGCCUUAUUUCAUUGUCUUUAUUUUAGUUGAGAAAGCCUCAUAGAGACUAUUUAUAAAAGACUUGCCACUAUUGAUUGUGCAUGUGUUGUUAGGUGUGUUUUUUCCAUUAUUUCUUAAUUUGUAUUCAUCGUGCUCACUUUCUAGCUGCGUUUUAAUAGAUUCUGUACCAUCUAUUAGCUGUUUGUGUAUUUAUUCUUUGUAAUAAUUUAAAGCAUACUGAUUGUUUGGAAUUUCAAAAUAUCUAAUGGAAAUAUAUAUUGCUAUGCUAACUGCUCUCUUGUUUUUAUUAGUUCUUAAUCAUUGUUUUUAGAAAGGGAAACCAUGGUUCACAGCUAACAGCCAAACUGCCUUUAAGAUUCCAAAAAGUUGAGAUAGAUGAAAAUCCUUAUAUCAUGCUUGCCAUAGAUUUCUGUGUAACGAAAGUAUGUCAUAAGUAGAGUUUCUUCUAAUUUCUGACUUAUAUGCUCGUUUUUUAUAAAAUAUCUGACCCCAAAUUUCUUUUCAUUUACUUCUGUAAUUUAUUGCAGUCUAUGCCUCCAUCCACCACCUUUCCCACCUUCCCCACCUUUCAGUUUCUUAACAUUAAGAAAAAGAUCUAUCGUGUUUAAAUGUUUCUGAAAAAAGCCCCUUGGUUUGGUGUUGUGUAUGCUUUUAUACUGGAAAACAGAACAUGGAUCCUUUACCACCUCUUAUUGCCAUAAGACAUGAAUGAGGUUUCCAGCAAAUCUUACUUUUUUUCUUUUCUUUUCUGCUUCUUAUAAUUUUAUUAGAACUAUCAGAUUAGACCCAUGUGUCAAUCCCAACCUCUUAGAGUUACUAUUACCAUCCUCUGCUCAAGAGCACCAUCGUGCAACCUAUAGAACAGAUUCUGUUCAAUGCUUGAUGAAGUUAGUUGUGGGAUUUGCUGUUGCUCAGCCGUCAGUGGUUAUCGAAAAGGGAAAGAGAGGGAGGGAUGACCAGUGAGGGGAGGAGAAUAGUUUAAUUUUAGUUUUUCAUUUCUUAAAAUGAAGUUUCUUUACCAACUUUUCUUCUUCAAAUUACAUUUGAAGUCUAAGCUAUUUAUGUAUUAUUAAAGUAAUUGUACGAACUUGAAAUUGUAUACUAUGAAUGAUGAUGUUGACUAGGUCUUUUAUUUUUGUCCAUAGAUGGACAUGAGAACUGCACGGCUCUACACAAUGCAUACCUUAUUUCAUAAUUUGUUCCGAGAUUAAAUAUAUUGUGUUUUGAGAAUUAAGAGCAUUGUAUCCUUA